UCAGGGAGUAACAGAAGACUUAAAGAAAGUCAAACUUUGGGCUACUGGGCGGACUAUCUCCUUGACUGUGAAGAAGGUCAGGCUGCUGUGUCUGUGGAAGAUGUUUUGAUGUUUGCAACUGGACUGACCUCACUUCCUCCAUCUGGAUUGGAACCAUUACCACGAAUAGAGUUCCUGGAUGACUCUCCAUUCCCAAUGGCAAAUACAUGUUCAAACACAUUGAAAUUACCACUCCUAGACGCAUACACUGUGUUUAAGACACAAAUGGAUUUCGGACUUCAAAAUUCCCCAGGAUUUGGCUGUUUAUAAGCCAUGGAAUGACCCCUAGAGGCUCUGAAAAGGUUAAAAAUAAUGUAAAGACAUGUGAGCAUGUUUUUUCUCACAGUUAACAUUUUGGCCAUUUUGUUUUAGGCAAAAUAAACAAAAGUCUUUCAAGAAGUUUCUGUACUUACAAAACAAAAAUGUAAUAAAUACUCAUUAAGUGUA